UGCAGUGCCCUGCUCAGAAAGGAGCCUGUUAUAUAUACUAUGCAUAAGCGGCUCCUAUCUGGGUAGAGCAAGGCU
rfam:Tupaia chinensis contig235664, whole genome shotgun sequence.